UGGAUUUCAACCAUAUCCGUCUCUUUUAAAUAUAUUAUUCAAGUCCCGUUAAUUAUUAUUUUUA
rnacentral:sRNA from 1 species